AUUUUAUUAGUAUAAAAAGUAUGGUUGUUUUCCAAACAAUUGGUUUAAUUAUUAUUAAAUAAAAUA
rnacentral:tRNA from 1 species